UUUAUAGGUAUGUAAAUUGAUGUUGCGAAGAUUUCUAUAAAGAAAAGAAGUAUGUGCACAAAAAGGAGAGAACAUGAGCAAGAUAGAGCUGCAAAAACAGAAAAAAAAUCAAGGACCAAAACUAAAUAUAGCCCAGAAGAAAAAGCACAGCAGCAUUUUCCUGCAGGUGCAGGCUCUGCUUUUCGGAUCAAUGAACACCAUUUCAUAUGAUCAAAUGCAGCAGCCAGGUCCAACUAGAAGAAUUUUAUGUCCAUGUUAAUUGUGUCCUGCCAUCUUUGCUUUGG